rnacentral:tRNA from 1 species
UAUUAGAUUGUGAAUCUAAAGUUAGAGAUUWAAUCMCCUCUUGUUUACC